rnacentral:rRNA from 1 species
UAGCUAGUUGGUGAGGUAAAGGCUUACCAAGGCGACGAUCUGUAGCGGGUCUGAGAGGAUGAUCCGCCACACUGGAACUGAGACACGGUCCAGACUCCUACGGGAGGCAGCAGUGGGGAAUUUUGGACAAUGGGGGCAACCCUGAUCCAGCCAUGCCGCGUGAGUGAAGAAGGCCUUCGGGUUGUAAAGCUCUUUCGGCCGGGAAGAAAUCGCAUGGGCCAAUACCCUGUGUGGAUGACGGUACCGGAAUAAGAAGCACCGGCUAACUACGUGCCAGCAGCCGCGGUAAUACGUAGGGUGCGAGCGUUAAUCGGAAUUACUGGGCGUAAAGCGUGCGCAGGCGGUUUUGUAAGACAGGCGUGAAAUCCCCGGGCUUAACCUGGGAACUGCGUUUGUGACUGCAAGGCUAGAGUACGGCAGAGGGGGGUGGAAUUCCACGUGUAGCAGUGAAAUGCGUAGAGAUGUGGAGGAACACCAAUGGCGAAGGCAGCCCCCUGGGUCGAUACUGACGCUCAUGCACGAAAGCGUGGGUAGCAAACAGGAUUAGAUACCCUGGUAGUCCACGCCCUAAACUAUGUCAACUAGGUGUUGGGUGGGUAAAACCAUUUAGUACCGUAGCUAACGCGUGAAGUUGACCGCCUGGGGAGUACGGCCGCAAGGUUAAAACUCAAAGGAAUUGACGGGGACCCGCACAAGCGGUGGAUGAUGUGGAUUAAUUCGAUGCAACGCGAAAAACCUUACCUACCCUUGACAUGCCAGGAACUUGCCAGAGAUGGCUUGGUGCCCGAAAGGGAGCCUGGACACAGGUGCUGCAUGGCUGUCGUCAGCUCGUGUCGUGAGAUGUUGGGUUAAGUCCCGCAACGAGCGCAACCCUUGUCGUUAAUUGCCAUCAUUUAGUUGGGCACUUUAACGAGACUGCCGGUGACAAACCGGAGGAAGGUGGGGAUGACGUCAAGUCCUCAUGGCCCUUAUGGGUAGGGCUUCACACGUCAUACAAUGGUCGGUACAAAGGGUUGCCAAGCCGCGAGGCGGAGCCAAUCCCAGAAAGCCGAUCGUAGUCCGGAUUGCAGGCUGCAACUCGCCUGCAUGAAGUCGGACUCGCUAGUAAUCGUGGAUCAGCAUGUCACGGUGAAUACGUUCCCGGGUCUUGUACACACCGCCCGUCACACCAUGGGAGCGGGUUCCGCCAGAAGUAGGUAGCCUAACCGCAAGGGGGGCGCUUACCACGGCGGGGUUCGUGACUGGGGUGAAGUCGUAACAAGGUAGCCGUAGGGGAACCUGCGGCUG